GUUUGCACCCCUAAUCCAUUCGGAGACAGACUUAUGAAUAGACUCGAGAUGCACUUGUCUCUUUGAAGAACAAUUUAACAAUAUUGAAAGCACGCACCAUCUUGGAAAGGCGAUCCACAAGAACAAAAACAGGAUCCAAUCCCUCUGUGUUCUUCUGGCAAUUCCAAGAACACAAUCUACAUCAUGCUUCAUCUUGGACCAAGAGUAGCCACUGUAGACCUAAGCAAAUAUUUAGUCCUUGCCGAAGUGACCUUGUCCAUGGAGCCCCUCAAUGAUCUUCUCCCUCAAUGAGCAGUCUGGAAUGCAAAGCUGGACUCCUCUAAAUAUAUGACCAUCUUUUACUUUGUAGUCAAGGCCUCUUGCAAGACUACACUUCAGCCAUCAAGCUCUUUAAACACCUGGUCCUUUGCAUAUGGAUCUCUGAAAGAGUCCAAACCAAUCGCUCGGACCUUCAUGACAGUAAGCAGUCAUCCCCUCCUACUAGAAGCAUCAACUACCCAAUUUAAAGAUCCUAACCUAUGCUUUGGAGGUGGUACUCCUGCAGACAGAAAAUUCACCUAACUCACACACCGAUUACCCAGCAUAUCCUUCCCUUGAACAUUCCUCAAAGUCUCCUGAUCGAUGAGUAGAAUAAACACUUGAUGUUAAAGCCUCUAAUGCCAGAGAGCUUGAACAACCACAUAAAAUUAAGCAUCAUGAGUAGGUGAAUAUAGCUUCUCAAUGAAGAAUGUUAUGUGCCUUCCUUCUUGACUGAGAAUAUAU
rnacentral:lncRNA from 1 species